CUGGUACUGUGGGGGCAUAUGUGUCACUGGGGGCAUAUGUGUUUCUGGCACUAUGGGGGAAUAUUUUUAUCUGGCACUGUGGGGGAAUAUCUGGCACUGGGGGCAUAUGCUGGACUGGGAGCACAGCCUUAGCAACAAGCACUACCCCCUGGUAACAAGCACAACCACCCAGCUCAUGAAAUCCCUGGCAACAAGCAUUACCCCCUAGCAAUGAGCAUGACACCCAGGGCAUGAAACCCCUGGCAACAAGCAUAACACCUAGCACAUGAAACCCCUGGCAACGAGCAUGACACCCUGAGCAUGAAAACCCCUGGCACCGUGCAUGGAACCAAGAGCAUGAAACCCCUGACAACGAGCAGGCAUUUUAUGAAUAGUGAAUACCGACUGAAGACACAGUCUGACCAGGGAGGAUACAUUUCUUCAGAGUAUCCCCAUUGUGAGAAACCACCAUAUAGGGCUGCAAGGAGCACGAUGCUGACCUCAUGAAGUCAUGCUCCCUGGCUUGAAGAGAACCCGCUGGAGGUGACCCUGCCUGUCUGCCUAUUCUGCAAGAAGAGCACUGAGAGGGGCACACUUUGAUGGAGGGAAGAUGACAGUGUGACUGAGAGACGUAGGGGGGAAGAUGACGGUGUGACUAAGAGGCACAAGGGGGAA